GAUGAACGCUAGCGGCAGGCCUAACACAUGCAAGUCGAGGGGUAGAAGGAGCUUGCUCCUUUGAGACCGGCGCACGGGUGCGUAACGCGUAUGCAAUCUACCUUGUACAGGGGAAUAGCCCAGAGAAAUUUGGAUUAAUGCCCCAUAGUAUAUAACCUUCGCAUGUUGGUUAUAUUAAAGUUCCAACGGUACAAGAUGAGCAUGCGUCCCAUUAGUUAGUUGGUAAGGUAACGGCUUACCAAGACGAUGAUGGGUAGGGGUCCUGAGAGGGAGAUCCCCCACACUGGUACUGAGACACGGACCAGACUCCUACGGGAGGCAGCAGUGAGGAAUAUUGGUCAAUGGUCGCAAGACUGAACCAGCCAUGCCGCGUGCAGGAAGACGGUCCUAUGGAUGGUAAACUGCUUUUAUACAGGAAGAAACCCUCCCACGUGUGGGAGCUUGACGGUACUGGAGGAAUAAGGAUCGGCUAACUCCGUG
rnacentral:rRNA from 1 species